rnacentral:rRNA from 1 species
UAACGCGUAAAGAACUUGCCUCACAGCUAGGGACAACAUUUAGAAAUGAAUGCUAAUACCUGAUAUUAUGAUUUUAAGGCAUCUUAGAAUUAUGAAAGCUAUAAGCACUGUGGGAGAGCUUUGCGUCCCAUUAGCUAGUUGGAGAGGUAACAGCUCACCAAGGCGAUGAUGGGUAGCCGGCCUGAGAGGGUGAACGGCCACAAGGGAACUGAGACACGGCCCUU